GCCUUCGUGGUGUAGUGGUCAGCACGCUCCGCGCCUAUUCGACAGGCCCAUGGUUCGAAUCCCGGCGAGGGCA
rfam:Stegodyphus mimosarum contig110522, whole genome shotgun sequence.